UGGUUUUGGAGAAUACGACAAAAUGGCUGUGGUUGCACUCUACCAAUCGGGGCGUUUAAAAAACGAAACUAUCUGAAGGGUUUGCAGAGGGAAAACAUCAUCACACAACCGGUCCUGGUGGCUUGCCGGUUAUAAACCGCUGAACGGUCGGUUCUCCGGGAGAGGCUGAAGCGAUCAGCGCCUUUUUUUUCUCAAUGCACAACAACGCCUCUACUAGCGGUGUGCAGUGAAUGAGGCCUGGCUGGCUCCAUAACAGCCCGGGAGCGUUCCACGUCACAGUCCGCCCCCCCUCUGCACCCCCAAACCUAGGCAGAGAAGGCCUGAAGGCUGGCAGACCGCUGGGCCUGGAGUCCAGCAUAUAGGCCCUACAAACCACAUCACAGUCUGGAGCGUCUGGAGCCCGCGCCUCUAUAAAGUUCCACUGCCCCGUCAGAAAAGGAGCGGGGCGGUUGCGUGGACCGGACCCACCGGUCGGCUGAGAGUGCGCAGGAGGGGGGGGGGGGGCACUGGUCGGUUAACAGCGGCGUUUAACAUUUCAAAGGGGUUAAGCCCGCCAACGUUCCAGCCUACCGGUAAGUGGUGUGAUGGAGCCAGGUUGGGUCUGACACGCAGAUGUGAAACUUGACCUUGUUCUAUGCAAAUCAUUAAAAGCUCC
ensembl:lncRNA